rnacentral:lncRNA from 1 species
UCUACUAGCCCUCCCUUUGGCUACUUUGUGGUUUGAAGUUGGGUUUUAGGCGUCGCAGUGGAACGAUCUCCUGUUCUUCUCUUGCGAGGAGGUUACCAGUUUUUUGUCUGUAGGUGGCUUAAUCUGGGUCGACGAGUGUCCGCGUUUAAGUGCUAUUGAUCUUCCUUGACUUGUCUCAAGCCGAAUCUCAAGCUUGCUUUCUUGCCUGUUGGUGUUGCGGUUGGAGACUUUGGUCGUAAUUCAUUACCGGUCUCCAUGAUGCUAUCCGACGUCUACAGUUUCUAUAGGAAAGCUUGGUGGGUUUCUCUUUGGAACAGGGGGUCAAGUGUAGUGCAUUGGUCUUAGCUUUUCUUUUAUAAGCUUUUUAUGUUGGUUAUCUCGUUUUUUCUAUGUUGCUUCCCUGUUGUUUAGGGCUAUGCUUCCCUUGUUUGGGCUUUCGUCUCCGGGGAUAUCUAGUUGUUCCGCCGGCUUUGCUUCCCUCUUUUGGGCUAAUGAUUCUGGGGACAUUUCUGUUGUCCGCCGGCAUAUAUAAUUUUAACUUGUAUCCGUUCUUGGUUUAAUAAUAAAAUUCAGACGAAAAAAAAAAAA